UACAGAGACUGCAAGCGUUAUCCGGAAUUAUUGGGCGUAAAGAGCUCGUAGGCGGUUUGUCGCGUCUGCCGUGAAAGCCCGGGGCUCAACUCCGGAUCUGCGGUGGGUACGGGCAGACUAGAGUGAUGUAGGGGAGACUGGAAUUCCUGGUGUAGCGGUGAAAUGCGCAGAUAUCAGGAGGAACACCGAUGGCGAAGGCAGGUCUCUGGGCCGCAACUGACGCUGAGGAGCGAAAGCAUGGGGAGCGAACAGG
rnacentral:rRNA from 1 species